UUCAGAUUUGACUGGGUUAUGACUCAGUGAAACAGUAUGAUUUCUACCCUGCUGCGGCCCAUGACUCACACCUCGCCCUCCGUUCCCCUUUCCUUCAAGCGUCCCAGACCUCCUGGGGAGAUUAGACGCUUGUUGCACUGCCAUCAAGUGGCCAACAAAUCAUUUCAGGAGUGACCUCCUCCUCCUCUCUCGGAUAGUGGAUCUCCAGCACUGUGUUGACGUCUGAGGGUUCCAGGGGUCGAGCCACCGAGCGGCCGUCUGGCCAGUACACCUCGACGUUCGUGGCAACAUCCUUACCUGGUCAGACGUACAGCACAGUCACAGCACAUACGAACACUCAGAGGAACAUGCAUGCAUCAUUGUGUGAUUUUCAGGAGAUGCUGUAGUCUCACGUGGCCUUUCUCUUCCUCUCUUUCAGAUAGGGAGUGGCACCGUCUUCACUUCUCUCUCCAUUAACCAUUUUUUAUCAGGCAGAGAGAAAGCCCCUCUCCAGAGGGCCUCUGCAGCACUUAAUUAAAGUGGCAUUUCCAAUAUAAACAGAUCUUGAGUUACCUUGCCAGGCAGUGAUCUGCUCAGCAGGUGUGCUGCCCUGAGAGCCAAAGAAUAUUUCACCUGCUCUGAACUGCACGGCGCCCUCUUGUUUAGUGGUGGGGGUUGUAUCACAUGUCUACCAGUCUGCUCUGAGGCCACGAUGGAGUGGAAGAUUAGCUCUUGGAGUGUGUGAUGAGUAAUAAGGCAGUAAAAUCAAGGGCCUCCAGAGAUGAUCUGUGCUUGGAGCCGUUCCCAGGUAGCCGGGCUGGAUGACCAGCAGCUGACGGUCCCAUGGGGCCAGAAGGAGCUGGUUCCAGUCUGGCUUCCAGCGGCAACACCUGUCCCCCCAUCUCUCUUUACUCUCCCAUGGGUGUCCAAUCAAGCUGGAGGUAUAAUAAAACAAUGCUUUCCACAUGGGGCUGUCAUUAUCCUUCUCGCUGCUACGCUCUGUAGAGCUGAUUCUGUCACCCAUUUCUCUCUGUCUGUCUAUCCCUUACCCAUCUGUCCCAAGCAGUGGCGCUAAAAAUGGGAAGUCAACUAAGCAGUUAAUCAAUCAACAGAGACUAAAUGAACAUCAAGUAUUUAUCAUAUUUGAGAAUGUGCUGCUUUUUACCAAUUUAAAGGUCCCAUAAUAUGAAAGACACAUUUCUCAGGUCUCUACAUAC